AGAUUGAACGCUGGCGGCAUGCUUUACACAUGCAAGUCGAACGGCAGGCACGGGGGCAACCCUGGUGGCGAGUGGCGAACGGGUGAGUAAUGCAUCGGAACGUAUCCUUGAGUGGGGGGAUAACGCAGCGAAAGUUGUGCUAAUACCGCAUAAGCUACUGGAGGAGGAAAGCGGGGGGACCGAAAGGCCUCGCGCAGCAGGAUGAGCCGAUGUCCGAUUAGCUGGUUGGUGGGGUAACGGCCCACCAAGGCGACGAUCGGUAGCUGGUCUGAGAGGGAUGAUCAGCCACACUGGGACUAGAGACACGGGCCCAGACUCCUACGGGAGGCAGC
rnacentral:rRNA from 1 species